GCCCUGUCCCUCCCCCCUCUGCACCCUCUCCAGUCUCUUGCUGUUUCGUUUUUCUUACCCUGCAUUGAUAAUUCCUGCACACUUCUGGUAGUCCUCAAUCACCAGCAGCCAGGGCAUUGCAGCUGUCUAUAUUUUAACUUAAAGUGAGUGGCAUCUUUUCUCCUGGCAACAGGCUGCCUUGCUUUCUUCCCCUCUCCUUCGAUAAAAAGUGACAAGUGCUCCUUCACAGAGCAGCGCAAUCAAAGGAGCCGCUCAAAGAGAACUGACAGUAAGUUGUGCGCUGGCUGCAAGCUGUUUUACUGAGGGACUUAGAUGGAGUUCCCAUCCUUCCCAUCUUUCCCCCUCUUGUGACAGUGCCUUGCACCCUUUGUGAUGAUACCAGAGCUUAUUUUACCAUGGCUUAUCUGAAUAAUCAGUUCCAGGGUUUCUAAACCAUCUCAGAGGGAUUUCUGAGGUUCUGCAGAGCUUUGCAAACUGUGUGUGAUGCAGCUGAGAGCUGUGCCACAGGGCUUCGCUCCCCACUCCGCCCCUCAGCACCCUGCUGACGACUGGGUCAAUACAUAAGGAGCUUUUCUAACCAUUUCAGGAUGCACUGAUGUGUCUUUAGUGCACAGGCGCUUUAAUUACAGCCACUCUUUGGAGGGAGGAUCGCACCUUACUGAGUGUCAGCGCUGCCUAGCAGCAAAGCCUCUCAGCAGGGCUGCAAAUCAAUAACCUCAGUAGCUCUCCAGGUUCCCCAGAGCCAAGGAGUUUACCUCUCCCCUGUCUUCAUCUUCAGCAGUCUUCCUCAGCACUGAUGGGCAUCUGUUACUGACACAUCACCAAGCAUUUGCAAGUCUGUGUUGGAGGCACCUUGAUUAAAACUGCUACCAUUACUGGUAGGAAGCUGAUGAUGAGCAUCUCUGCUACCCAGCGUAGCUCUGCUCUCAAAAGGAGCAUUUCUCAGGCCCUUUUUGCUUUGCAGUGGCUGCUUUUACAGUACAGCAGCGUACGGGCUGAUGGUGGUCACGGCUGCUCGCCGCUGUGGCCAUAAGGAGGGCAAAGCCAGCAGGAUAAGAGCACAAGCUUUAGGUUAAGUGCAUGCUUAACCCACCCAGGGUAAGGCUGCUUUCCGUAACCCGGCCUCCAGUUAGGAAGGGGAAUGACUGCCAAGGCCCCAUGUGCUUUGACAAACCCAUUGCUGGUGGGAGAAGGCAGUGGGAGGGUUUGGCCGCAGCAGUGGAAGGUUGGAGGGUUCAGAGGUGGCUUUUGGCCUCAUGCUUAAACCCGACCAUGCCUAAAUCCACCAAAGUUAGUUCCAAGUUGUUUGGACCAAGUGCAUCUUAAGAAAUUUUGAGUUCUAAAGAAGUCACCAAGUCUUCCAGCAUGGCCAUUUCAUUGUGUCCUCUUUCCCUAGAGACGAUCCCAAUAACAUGCACUGGCCUACAGCACAUUUCCAGAGAAGUAUCGGUCUCGGUCUUUCUGUCUCUUGCUUUUCUUAACUGUAUCUACAGUAUGUUUCAGUGAAUCAUCACCUUCACUGUAUAAUGUAUUUUCUUCCUCUUCUAAUUUUAAUGGCUGUGGCUUUAGUCAACAGCAGUACGUUGGUAAGAGCAUUAAGAAGUUCAGAAAACUACUUUGCAAGGAUUCUGCUUCAGCUGAUGUGCUAAUGAAACUGAAACACUCUUUCUUGCAGUGGUCUGUGUAAGAUAGCUGGACAUUUUAAAUUUUCUAAUUAGUUUCUGGAUGAUUAUCUAUUAGUGUUUUCAUGCUUCAUUCCAUGCCAAUGUCUGAGUUUGGCCAAGGUCUUUUUCGGUCUCCUUAUUUUGCAUAUUUGGACUAAGCUGCUGAAGAAAACACUGCUUUUGCUGAAAUCAGGGAGACUUCAUUUGCUAGGUAGAAUGGGGUAGCAAUUUGGGAGCUUCUGUAAUUAGUCAUUCGUUUCCAGAAGUCUUUAUACAGCACAUAAAUGUGAACUAACCUUUCAGAAUCCUCUGCAGCUCUGGCACCAAAUAUCAAAUUUAGACUUAGCAACAGGACAGAAAAUGUGUAAUUUAUGAGCUAGUGAAGUAUCUUAUUAAACCAGUAUUUUCUAAAUUUUGACUUAAUUUAAUUUUAAUCUAAGAGAAAGAAGCAAUCUAAGUCCAGCCAAGGUUUUCCUUAAAUACCAUCCUUGUUAUCUGGGAGGCUUUAAAUCAACUAAGAUAGAUGAUUUUAAUUUCCGUGUUCUCAGUGUAACACUUGGGGUCAAUGUUUGCAUACUUAUCAUAGGCAAGUUUACCACUGACAACCGCUGUAAUUGUUCAACUUUUCCUUGGUGAAGACCUGAUUGACUGUUAUGCACUGUAUUUAUUAUGUCUCACACUGAAAUAUAGAUGAUUGAUUAUUCCAUUAUUCUAUUGACCAAGGCUGUAACAAGGUGUGACAAAUAUGGGCCAUUACAGCCCAUAACCAACUGAGGAAGGCAGUGCAGUCAGGUAAGAAAAUUUUAAUGUGUGCAACUCUCUGGGAAGCUUUAGCAAACUUUCAGGGCGCUGUGUUUAAAAGACUUUAUCUGAAUGAAUGUUCUUCAUUUCUGCUAGGUACUUUCUAAUUAUAAAAAGAAAAAGAAACCCAAAACAUAACAGGCCCUGAGCUGAAAAGCACAGAAUGUGAUUGAGAGCCCAUUGGAGCCAAAGGAAAUUCUUCCAGCAGCUUGCUGGGCUUUGGUGGGGUCCUGAGGGUAAUCUUUCUGUUUACUUCACUGAGAGCUGUGUCAAACCCUGAGAAGUAUCACCAUUUGUUAACCGCAUUAAAAAUGUUCAGAGAAAAAAAGUGUCUUCCGUCACUCAUGUAGCACAUUAAUGUGAAUUACGUGCACAUGUCAAGGGGACUUAUCGUUGGAAAGAGAAAAAUGCUGUGUUUUAAAGCUCUCUAUCUGCAGCUUGGUAUUUGAAAUGCGUAAUUUAAUUAUCUUCGAACUCCUUUGUUCCUCCUUAAAAUAAAUUAUGUUUAAUUUUCAUUUUAAGUAUCAUGCUUUGAUGGACGCAGCACUAGGGAUCGUGGCAACAAAAUGGUGUUGAACCAGCUACUGGAAAGUAGUACUAAUAAACAAUGCAUUCGCUACCACUCUAUCAUAUUAAUUAGUCUUCAGAAUGUGUCAGUGCUUUUCAUUUGUAUUUAAUGUUGCCUGAGUUUACUGCCAAUUAAAUACAAUGUUGUUAUCAAAUCAGCGCGCACGUGAUUGCAUUGGAUUAAUGUGGUUAUUCUCUUUGAUCCACUAUAAUUAAAAAUCACAGUUGUGAUUUUAAACAAGUGUAAAAAUAUAAUUAGUUUGUAUACGCAGCUGCUUUGUCUUCUAAUUUACUUUAAUAACGUUUGCUUCUAAUGAACAGUUGUGGAAGUCCUGGGCCCCGUGCAGCAGCUCACACGAGACAGCAGCGUUUUGUGAGCGCUGGCGGAAGCCUCCCACGUGCCCGUCGCUGUCCUUCCCCUCUGCCCAGCUGCGGUGAGCGACAUUUUCAAGCGAGAUCUAUGGCAGUUCAGUCCCCAAAUCCUAAAGGAGAGCUCAUCAGCUUUGAGCUGAAAGAAAAUACUGCUUUAAAACUCAAUGCUGUUUUCCUUGAAGCCUGACGGCAGAGUCUAACGAGCUGUCUACAAGUACCAUGCCGCAUCCUUGUCCCCACGGGACCCACCACCCCAGCUGUCAAGCAGCCAAGAGGCAGAGAGACAUGAGCUUGUGCAACAUGGGCAACCGUGAGAUGCUGAGAAGGUGUGAAUGCCUGCAUGCCAGCCCCAAAAUAUCCAGCCUACCCGGUCCCAGCUUUCCAGGCUGCAGCUUUUCACCGAACAGGAGCUCCUGAUUUUGGCCUCAGCAGAGGAACAUCCAUGUUUGCUGAUGGGACCUUGUGUGGAGGAUGCCAUGAACUCACAAAGAGCUUCAGAACACUUUAAUAAAGGGUCCCGAAAGACCAUAAGCGCAGAGGAGAUCCAAACCUGAUGCUACAGCACGAUGCUUUGGAGAAAGUUUUCAAAGCAGGAUGUGUGCGUUUUAACUCUACCGCCCAUUCAAUUGGAGCCCACCAGCUGUUAAACCCUCUAGAACCCCAGUUUGCUAAAAACUCGGCUGCCAAGCACCUGCACUGCUGGUGCUCUGCUCACCCGCAGUGUGCCGGGGGGGGACCGGCAGGGGCUGGCCAGCCCCUCGCCUUCUGCUCCCAUGUCCUGCUUACAUGGAACUCGGCAGCUGUCAGAGGGACGUGAAGCCAUUCUCAUUCCAGCAGCAGGGAAAAGAAAACUCCCAGCAGCUGAGGGAUCCAUGCAGAGGCACAAAGCAAACCCGCGUCGGGGACCUGGGAAGUUCCUGCUCUCUGCAGUCACCAUGUCAGAGUUCGUCUUGAAAGAUUUCCUUUCACAGGAGGCUCUGAACCCAGCAUUUCAUGCCGAAGGAGUGUGCUGCACGGGCAGCUCCCACUCAGCUUAUUUGUUGCUGUGAGCAGGACGUUGGUCCCAGUCCAGCCCUAAUGUGAUUCCUUUCCUGUGAGCAGCCUUAC